ensembl:lncRNA
GUAAAAGUUUACAGUUAAUUAAGAGAGAAGUAUAGUGAGAAAUAGAGUAAUGCUUAUGGAUUACUUGUGGAUUAUUUUGACGUGUUUAUCAGAUGUCUGGACUCUCAUUCUGACAGCAUUUAUUAUUAUUAUUUUUAUUAUUAUUAUUAUAUGAUGCCUUUGUGUUUGUGUGUUUUGUAACAGAUAUGGAGGUUAUGGGCCCUAUGGACACUUUGGAAGUUAUGGGCCCUUUCAAAAGUAAGUAAUUCUAAAAUAAACAUUGCAAAUGUUUAUGGUUAAUUAAGAGAGAAGGAUAGUGAGAAAGAGAGAGUAAUGCUUAUGGAUAACUUGUGGAUUAUUGUGACAUGUUUAUUAGUUGUCUGGACUGUCAUUCUGACAGCAUUCCUUCUUCUUCUUCUUCUUCUUCUUCUUCUUCUUCUUCUUCUUCUAUUAUGAUGCCUUUGUGUUUGUGUGUGUUGUAACAGAUAUGGAGGUUAUGGGCCCUAUGGACAAGGUGAUGGAGGUCAUGGGCCCUCUGGACCAGCUGAAUAUUAUGGACAGUAAGCCAUUUAAAAUUAACAUUGCAACUUUUUACAUUUUAUCAAGAGAGAAGUAUAAUGAGAAAGAGCAAGCAAUUCUUAUUCAGUAGUUAAAUUUUUACUUAUAAAUAUCCACUUAUUGACAGUCUGUGGGCUUUAUUAUGGUAUAUAAGUUGCUUUAUUUCUUUUUUACAUUUACACAUUUGGCAGAUGCUUUUAUACAAAGUAAGUUACAUUUAGCAAUAUAAACAUAUACCAAACCAUUUGUGUAUUUGUUUGCGAUGACCAUGUGACUGACAACACUGAACCAGUAAAGUAAAAUAAAUGACCAGGCUAAACCCUGCUGAAUGAGCUG